AUUCUGCUGAACCCAUAAGUUCUCUGAAGUUAUGCGUCCACCACCACGACCACAACCUGCACCACCACGACCACGGCCACCGCCAAUACGGCACCAUCAAGUCCCCCACCAUCACAUGGCCCCCAUGUCCAUCUCCACAGGAGAAGAUACAAAAGUGAAGAUUGGUGUGUUGUGCUAUGAUGAUGGAUUUGGAUAAGUGUAGGCGCAGACACAGAUAAGAGACAGGCACCUCUUCUGCCACAAGAAGGGGAGGGAUUGUCACGGGGACUCCAGCAGCUCCUGCAGCAGUGACUCUGACUAGAUGAAGAUUUCGGGGCCGGGCUUUGUUGGAAACAUUAGUAUUACCUAUCCUUUCUCUUCUGUUUUUUUUUAAACGUUUACUUAAAAAUCAUUUUAACAGAUGUAAGAAAAAACUACAUUAAAUAUAAAGAAUAUGUAAAACAGAAGGCUCAUUCACAUAUUUAGAAAAACUGGAUGUAUGGGUUUUGGGAGUAUCAUUUUAAGCCUUGAGCUUUGCUAUGCUUACCUUGUUUAUUAAAUUAGAACAUGACAAGCUUGGCUCAACUCUACCUUAGAAGCUGAGGAAACUGUAUUCUCAUGGGGUAGCAACCUGUCAAUCACAAGGCAGGUCCUCCUGGAAAUUGUUUACUGAGUUCAUAAGUCGGAAGCAGGUAUAUCUCUGAAAUUAUGCCAAUAAAAUUCUUUUGCAGCCAGCUGCCCCCUGCUGGUCAUCAAAGAGAAUGCAUCUUUUAGACGCAGAAAAUGCAGAUUUUACAUCCAUCUUUUGUGCACAGACUUUGAGUAAUUUUUAAUCAGCUUCCACUGUAUGGUUACCUUACAAUGAAAUAAUAAAUAUAAACGGAUUAUUCUUCUCUAGUCUGUCUCAUUUUUUCUGCCAAAGUCCUUUCUAGCCAGAAAUAUUUUGGCCAUUAAAAGAAUGCAGCUUUGAGGCACUUGCACAUCAGCAGACCAGGAAACAAUAACAUAACACAAACAAAAUUAUUUAUUAGGAGCGGUAUCAGAGACAGGUCCUAUGAAAUCUAUCAUUGUGUUUGCUGGGAUUUAUUUAACAAAUGAUGAAAUGACAUCUUGUGGUGGGAGUUCAGGCUUGCCCCUG